rnacentral:rRNA from 1 species
AGCUCCAGUAGCGUAUAUUUAAGUUGUUGUAUUUAAAAAGCUCGUAGUUGAAGCGUGAGUGUCAAAAAUAAAAUGGGAGGAGAUGGGAGUAAAAGCUUCUGUCUCACCCAGUGGCAUUCAUAUUGUGGGCAACAGAUACUCAUCUGGACUGAAAGGUUCAGAGGAGACCAAUUUCUAUUGUCCAUUUUACCAUAAGUAAAUUAGAGUGUUUAAAGCAGGACUUUUCGUCCAUUGAAUAAUAGAGUAUGGGAUAAUAAAAGAUGAAAGAAAGAGGAUGCAUUCCUCGGACAAGAGCAAGUUCGAAAGGAUUUGUUUUUGUUCGGUCUUCUCUUCUUUAAUGAUUAAUAGGGGCAAUCGGGGCAAUUAGUAUUUCUGUACGAGUGGUGAAAUAUGGAGACUACAGAAAGACUAACCACUGCGAAAGCAUUUUGCAAGGGUGUUUUCA